rnacentral:rRNA from 1 species
GAUGAACGCUAGCGGCAGGCUUAAUACAUGCAAGUCGAGGGGCAGCAUGAUUGUAGCAAUACAAUUGAUGGCGACCGGCAAACGGGUGCGGAACACGUACACAACCUCCCAAUAAGUGGGGAAUAGCCCAGAGAAAUUUGGAUUAAUACCCCGUAACAUAACGAUGUGGCAUCACAUUGUUAUUAUAGAUUUUUCGCUUAUUGAUGGGUGUGCGGCUGAUUAGAUAGUUGGCGGGGUAACGGCCCACCAAGUCUACGAUCAGUAGCUGAUGUGAGAGCAUGAUCAGCCACACGAGCACUGAGACACGGGCCCGACUCCUACGGGAGGCAGCAGUAAGGAAUAUUGGACAAUGGACGCAAGUCUGAUCCAGCCAUGCCGCGUGAAGGAUUAAGGUCCUCUGGAUUGUAAACUUCUUUUAUAAGGGACGAAAAAAGGCUUUUCUAAGUCGUCUGACGGUACCUUAUGAAUAAGCACCGGCUAACUCCGUGCCAGCCGCCGCAGUAACAC